GAUUCCCCACAUCAAACGCGUGCGAAGCGGCCGCGUUCCGCCUUUCAAUUGGUCGACGCCUGCGCACGUGACUUCCCCCGCGGGCGCGCGAUUGGCCAGUUGCUUGUGCGCUGUGGGGAAUGCGAGCGAGCGCCAAGUGCGACGGCAGCGUGGCCCCGCGGAGUCGCCUCCACAUCCAACAUGGACAUCAACACCGCCAGAAACAUCGUCGUCAUCAUUAGCAGCAACUGCAUAAUCAUUGGCAUCGCCUCCACCAUCAUCGGCAACAGCGGCUACGGCAACAUCUUCGGCGUCAUCACCAAAAUCGGCAACAUCAUAAUCAGCAACAAGCAACGCCAUCAUCACCAUCAUCUGCAACAUCAUCAGCAGCAGCUGCAUCUUCGUCGUCAUUGCUGCCAACAUGAGAUGCAGCCGCAAAGCGCGGGGGAAGAAGCUGUGUGGUGGUGGA